rnacentral:rRNA from 1 species
CCUACGGGAGGCUGCAGUGGGGAAUAUUGGACAAUGGGGGGAACCCUGAUCCAGCCAUGCCGCGUGUGUGAAGAAGGCCCUCGGGUUGUAAAGCACUUUCAGUGAGGAAGAACGCCUGGUGGUUAAUACCCAUCAGGAAAGACAUCACUCACAGAAGAAGCACCGUCUAACUCCGUGCCAGCAGCCGCGGUAAUACGGAGGGUGCGAGCGUUAAUCGGAAUUACUGGGCGUAAAGCGCGCGUAGGUGGCUUGAUAAGCCGGUUGUGAAAGCCCCGGGCUCAACCUGGGAACGGCAUCCGGAACUGUCAAGCUAGAGUGCAGGAGAGGAAGGUAGAAUUCCCGGUGUAGCGGUGAAAUGCGUAGAGAUCGGGAGGAAUACCAGUGGCGAAGGCGGCCUUCUGGACUGACACUGACACUGAGGUGCGAAAGCGUGGGUAGCAAACAGGAUUAGAUACCCGGGUAGUC